GAUAGGGAGCUGCCUCCCCAAAGGCAGCCAUCUCAGCAUCUGGAGAAGCCAUGUCUGCACUUACACAGGAGGCAGUCAGAAGAGUACUCUGUAGAAUAGAAGAUAUAUUGAGUAUAGCCUGGAGCCCACUGGGACUAGAAACAAAGCACAGCACAGCACAGCCAGAAGAGACAGAACGAGAGAAAUCUCUGAAAACAGACAUUCCUGCACAGCAGCACUGUGUGGGCGUUGUGCUGGCAUUCCCCAGAGAGGAGAGGGCAUUCACACAUGCUGGAAAUAGAUUCCACCUCACUUUCUGCAGGUCCUUAUGAUAUGAGUUUCCUUGCCUUGUGUUCAGUGAGCAUGAACUGAGGCAGACACUCGUGAGCACCAGUGAAGUACAAGCAUGGAGCACUGUCAAGGAUGUUGCAUUUGUGGCCCAUUGCCAACCACACUCUCAGCUCUGCUUUUUAGAGCAGCAGCAUCAACCUUGCAACCUGCCUAGUUAGAAGGAAAUUCCACACCCACUGUCUUCUGCUUAGGUCCUCUGCUCCUUCUAGCCCGGACCAAUCUGAGCAGGACCUCCUAGCUAGCUGUAACGACAGAAGAUGCAUGGCUGCAAGUCACUGGCCUGGCCUCCUCUUCAGACCCAUUGGUCUUCUUUUCUGCCCGGAAAGAAGCAAGCAAAGUCAACCCAGUUGGACCAUGUGGGAAUCAACAAGGAAAGUUCAAGAAGGCAUCUUCUUAGGAGUCAAUAUGUUUGAUGUAAGAUUUAACCUUAGCAGCUGGUGAAUUCCAGUAGAGCAAAGAAGCUGUUGGUGAGCUCCCCUCUAAGACUCUGAAGAAGCACAGCAUCAAGGUCACCACCACACAGUCUGUGCUUAAUGCUUCACUAUAGCAGCAGGUACCUUUGUUACUGAUAUUAGUUUCCUUUAACCAUGUGGCCAUAAUGAAGCAGUUGAACGAUGGACUUCACAAAUAUUUUGAGGUGAUGUAUUCAUGGGGACAUGAUACAAUAAACCAUUGCACCUUUCCUAAGCCAUCCUGAAGUGCCAGGUGAUAACAUAAAGUCCUCUUCUUCCAUGAAGUUUUAUCUGUCUCUUCAUCCUCCCAUAGAACAUCUUGCCACAGCUCACGGAGGUUGCACAGCUGUCUUGAGCCACACUGGACAGCAUGGCCUAAACUGCCAUCAACUAGUUGCGCCUGCUAACCUGGCCAUUCUCAUUAGCUGCUUCUUUCCCAGGAGCUCCUCCAGCUAUUUACUCUUUCCUCCACCAAUCCCUCCAGCUACACCUUCCUUCUUGACAUCCACGUCCCCCAGCUGCUUAUGCCCUGCUGGCAGCUCUAGCUAGCUGCUCCAAUUAAUCCCUUUAGCACUGAUGACUGAGUUGCUUCUUCAAAGUCUACUGACUGUGGCAAGACCCAUGGAGCAACCAGAGAGGAAGAGGUUUGUGCUACUGAACGGGUGUGGUUGAAAGAAGCCAACAAACCCGCACACAAGAGUAACAUUUCCUUCCCACUCUGGCACGCUGGUCACUUUGUUGGACAUGUCCCCAGGAACAGAUAACUACAAAACACAAUUCAACCAUGUUUCCGGCCUGCCCACUGAUUUCUUUUGUCAUGCAGUGCUUUCUUUUGACAGUGAAACCUGUGACUGUCAAUGACCAGGAAGGUGUCUCUUGGUCCUGCAUGCUGCAGGAGGGAUACUGAUUCAUACCAGCCUGCUGACAUUCUUUUAGACCUCAGUCCUGCUUCAUACAAGGUCUCAGCUUGACCUUUUGAUUCUUGGCAGAAAGCAUUUACCUGUCCUGGGCCUCAAAGAACCUGUUCCCAGCCAAUCUGGGCUGGGAACCCCAGAUGCUGCUGGAGCCAUUGUUUCACUUAUCUAUUACACAUCCUGUUAAGUUCAGUCCUUAACACGUCUCAGAUAAAAGAAUCAACCACCUCCAGAAACUGCAGAGGCCAGAAUGGAGUCAAACUCUUUCUCAGUGGUUUCUUAAAUGCUUAUGUGGAAUGCUGUUAAACCUACUACUCUUCUGCUAAUCCCAGAAACAUGGGAUAGAGUCUGCAGACCUGGUAGACUGGAAAAAGCAAUCCCUGUUGGAUUUGCAGCAUGCUAGUGUUUUUAUCAGCCAUGCUGCUCAGAUUAGCAGAACAUGCUUGUAGAGAUCAGCGUGCCCUGUGAAUUGCCUGUGGAUAUUGCGACAUGGAAGAGUGGCCUCAGGCUACCGUGUAGCAAAACAGACUUGACGGAGAAUGCUGGUUGCUGAAGUGGCAGCUACAGCAGCGGUAAGAGCAAUGACCUUCUUACCAUGGCUUCCUGCCGCCUGAAAACCACUGAGCAUCUCAGUGGAGAAGGAACAGAUUGCCUGACCAGACAGAGCCUGGAGCCCACUGGGACUAGAACCAAAGCACAGCACAGCACAGCCAGAAGAGACAGAACGAGAGAAAUCUCUGAAAACAGACAUUCCUGCACAGCAGCACUGUGUGGGCGUUGUGCUGGCAUUCCCCAGAGAGGAGAGGGCAUUCACACAUGCUGGAAAUAGAUUCCACCUCACUUUCUGCAGGUCCUUAUGAUAUGAGUUUCCUUGCCUUGUGUUCAGUGAGCAUGAACUGAGGCAGACACUCGUGAGCACCAGUGAAGUACAAGCAUGGAGCACUGUCAAGGAUGUUGCAUUUGUGGCCCAUUGCCAACCACACUCUCAGCUCUGCUUUUUAGAGCAGCAGCAUCAACCUUGCAACCUGCCUAGUUAGAAGGAAAUUCCACACCCACUGUCUUCUGCUUAGGUCCUCUGCUCCUUCUAGCCCGGACCAAUCUGAGCAGGACCUCCUAGCUAGCUGUAACGACAGAAGAUGCAUGGCUGCAAGUCACUGGCCUGGCCUCCUCUUCAGACCCAUUGGUCUUCUUUUCUGCCCGGAAAGAAGCAAGCAAAGUCAACCCAGUUGGACCAUGUGGGAAUCAACAAGGAAAGUUCAAGAAGGCAUCUUCUUAGGAGUCAAUAUGUUUGAUGUAAGAUUUAACCUUAGCAGCUGGUGAAUUCCAGUAGAGCAAAGAAGCUGUUGGUGAGCUCCCCUCUAAGACUCUGAAGAAGCACAGCAUCAAGGUCACCACCACACAGUCUGUGCUUAAUGCUUCACUAUAGCAGCAGGUACCUUUGUUACUGAUAUUAGUUUCCUUUAACCAUGUGGCCAUAAUGAAGCAGUUGAACGAUGGACUUCACAAAUAUUUUGAGGUGAUGUAUUCAUGGGGACAUGAUACAAUAAACCAUUGCACCUUUCCUAAGCCAUCCUGAAGUGCCAGGUGAUAACAUAAAGUCCUCUUCUUCCAUGAAGUUUUAUCUGUCUCUUCAUCCUCCCAUAGAACAUCUUGCCACAGCUCACGGAGGUUGCACAGCUGUCUUGAGCCACACUGGACAGCAUGGCCUAAACUGCCAUCAACUAGUUGCGCCUGCUAACCUGGCCAUUCUCAUUAGCUGCUUCUUUCCCAGGAGCUCCUCCAGCUAUUUACUCUUUCCUCCACCAAUCCCUCCAGCUACACCUUCCUUCUUGACAUCCACGUCCCCCAGCUGCUUAUGCCCUGCUGGCAGCUCUAGCUAGCUGCUCCAAUUAAUCCCUUUAGCACUGAUGACUGAGUUGCUUCUUCAAAGUCUACUGACUGUGGCAAGACCCAUGGAGCAACCAGAGAGGAAGAGGUUUGUGCUACUGAACGGGUGUGGUUGAAAGAAGCCAACAAACCCGCACACAAGAGUAACAUUUCCUUCCCACUCUGGCACGCUGGUCACUUUGUUGGACAUGUCCCCAGGAACAGAUAACUACAAAACACAAUUCAACCAUGUUUCCGGCCUGCCCACUGAUUUCUUUUGUCAUGCAGUGCUUUCUUUUGACAGUGAAACCUGUGACUGUCAAUGACCAGGAAGGUGUCUCUUGGUCCUGCAUGCUGCAGGAGGGAUACUGAUUCAUACCAGCCUGCUGACAUUCUUUUAGACCUCAGUCCUGCUUCAUACAAGGUCUCAGCUUGACCUUUUGAUUCUUGGCAGAAAGCAUUUACCUGUCCUGGGCCUCAAAGAACCUGUUCCCAGCCAAUCUGGGCUGGGAACCCCAGAUGCUGCUGGAGCCAUUGUUUCACUUAUCUAUUACACAUCCUGUUAAGUUCAGUCCUUAACACGUCUCAGAUAAAAGAAUCAACCACCUCCAGAAACUGCAGAGGCCAGAAUGGAGUCAAACUCUUUCUCAGUGGUUUCUUAAAUGCUUAUGUGGAAUGCUGUUAAACCUACUACUCUUCUGCUAAUCCCAGAAACAUGGGAUAGAGUCUGCAGACCUGGUAGACUGGAAAAAGCAAUCCCUGUUGGAUUUGCAGCAUGCUAGUGUUUUUAUCAGCCAUGCUGCUCAGAUUAGCAGAACAUGCUUGUAGAGAUCAGCGUGCCCUGUGAAUUGCCUGUGGAUAUUGCGACAUGGAAGAGUGGCCUCAGGCUACCGUGUAGCAAAACAGACUUGACGGAGAAUGCUGGUUGCUGAAGUGGCAGCUACAGCAGCGGUAAGAGCAAUGACCUUCUUACCAUGGCUUCCUGCCGCCUGAAAACCACUGAGCAUCUCAGUGGAGAAGGAACAGAUUGCCUGACCAGACAGAACCAACAAGCAAAAAUAUCAAGAAGAGCAGUGUCCUUUGGAGAUGACAAUUGCGAUGAAAUCCUGUCCCCUUUCAUGCUGAUUUGUCUCCUGGCUCUCCUUCCUGACUUCUUACCUGUGUGCAGUGCAUUCUGUACGAACAACAUGAGGGAAUGAAGUGCAGUCCGUGCAGUUGCAAAUGAGUGUGUAUGGAAAGCUGUCAUCCACCUUGCAAAGUUGAAAAUGUCAAGUGCAAGUCAGUACAGAUCACCUCCUUCUCAUCCCACAAGUUUCAAAAAAAGGAGCUCCCACUGCCAGAACAACAGGACUUCCAGAAAUUCCUUCUGAAGGUGCAACUGGAUGCUUUCUGCACUGGGCUACUCAGACACAACUCUAAGGCUCCAAACUGGCUGCAAGUCUGGUGUUGGUAUAUCUAUACCAAAGAACACCUUCCCUGCAGAUGCUUACUGCACAUGACAGCUGUCCCUAGGAAUAAAAUCCCAUGGACGUGCCUGGGUGGGCAAGGAGGUGUCAGGUCCAGUAAGAAGAUGGAACAGAAGAACUGAGACAGAGCAUAAUGAAGAAAAAAAGUUCCCCUUACUGCAGUUUGAUUUAUGCCUGGUUCCUGCUGACACGUGGUGGAAACCCUGAAUCCCUUCAGCUUCCCACAGCAGACUUGAGUAGCACAUAUGGGGGACCAAUGCCAGAACAGCCCUGAAUUCAGAACAGUACAAGGCACAGUUAGUUGGCAACUCACAGAUGGGCACAAAGUCAUUCCUUCCCCACUUUUCCUGUUAGAGAAGGAGUUGAAUCUGGACUUCCUGUGGUGUCACUGGACAGCUCAUGCUCAUAUCAUUCAGGUGUGCCUAUUGCAGGAAACAGCUAGGCUUCCGUAACAGAAGUACACAAACAUGCCAAGAGGGACCUUUGUGCCUGUGGAUCCUUAAUGAACAGACUGAUAACAAAUGUGUAGCCUCAUACCCCAGAGUAAAAUAAGACCUCUCAGGAAUGCUGGCAUGAGACAAGGAGAAAUGCCGGAACACUAAUUCUCUGGUGCAAAGCUUCUCAUCCCAACACUUCUGCUAAGAUGUGGCUGGGCACUGGACCCUGGAGCCUGGAGAUGGAAAAUGACUCUAACUGAAGAUGAGCAAUGUCUACCUCCUCUCCACCAUUCUCUGGUACUCCACUCUCAUCAGGAAGCCCCUGCACCUGGCCUGUGUGCGAGUGAUGAGCUGUGCCAGCUUCUCAUCCCUCAUUUCCUCCAGAAGUCCCAGCAGCCCAGCUUUGAAGAACACCUUGAGAAAGGGAAUGUUGCAACACAUCACUGCCAGAUUCUGCACUCUUCAGCAAGGGCUUGAUUUUGAAGAACAGCUUCAUCCAGGGCCAGUGCUUGACAUUCAUGAAUGCACGAAUGUUGUACUGGAUGCAGAAGAUGGACUCUCUGAAUGGAAGCCCCUGCACCUGGCUUGUGUGCGAGUAAUGAGCUGUGCCAGCUUCUCAUCCCUCAUCUCUUCCAAAAGGCCUAUCAGCCCAGCUUUGAAGAACACCUUAGGAACCCUGAAUUAGAAUCAUCCUAUGACAAUGAAUUUCACUGUUUUAUUGAAGUGGACUCUGUUGGGAAAUCCUUUCCUGCAAAUUCUGAUCCCUUCCAGCACACCGUUACACCGAAGCUGAUGCAGCACCAGCUCAUGUUCCAUGGCACCUAACAAUUCAGAGCACAAAUGAAUGUUGUAUUCUGUAAUACAUCAGGGAAGAUCAGCACCAUAUUGAAGACUUCCUGUAUUUUUCACAGUGACCUUCCCUGUUUCCCUGCUCUGGAUUGUCCCUUUUACAAAGGAUUCCUUGGGAUGGGCCACAAAGACGGAUGACUUGGCAUCAAAAGGGCGAGACUCUGCUGCGACCAGAAGCAAACCACAGCACAGUCAAAAGAGAAGAGGCAACCUGAAAGCCAUCUCUGGAUUCAGACUGUCCUGCACAGCAAUGUGAUGUGGGCAAGGCACUGGUGUGCUGACAUUUUCCAUGGAGGAGAGAGGAUUCAGGCGUACUGAAAAUAGAUCCCUCUUGAGAUGGAGAUCAGGCAGCUGCCUCACUUUCUGCCAGCCCUUAAGAUAUGUUAUUUUCUUCUCCAGAGCCCAGUGGCUGCUGAGAGACAAAGAGUGAGAAGAUGCCUUUUAGAUGGGCAACUAGAUUGGAGUGAGGAUGUGGAAGAACCUACAGACUGCCAAACGUUGGCUACUGAGAACCUCCCUUCCACUCCCAUUUAGUGCAGUUGAGCUUACGAGCUGGAAACAUGCAAAUACACCUGUAUGACAGGUACAUAUGUAAAAUUUUAAUUUCUAAAUUUAAAAGUUGCAGUAUCACAAGCUUCAACUAUUUACAGCUUUUUUUAGCUGCAUUGACUUCAACCUUAUUGAGUCAGUCUCACUUGACUCCUCUUUCCCACCAACUUUCCCCACAUGCCUAUUUCACAAAGACCAGAUCACUGUCUUCCUGAGGAUUUUUUCCCCUGCAGAAUACAUAUUCAACUGAGAGGAAUUCAAGAAGUCCCACUCAUGAUGACACAAAAUUCAACUUCACCAAAUUUGUGAAUGACACUAAAUUAGACAGAGUAGAUGAUAUGACAAAUGACAGAGCUUCAUUCCAAAGGGACAUUAUGAAACUUUAAGAAAGAACAUUAAGACUGGAUCAACAAAAACCUUAUGAAAAUCAUUGCAGAAUAGUACAAAGCUCACAUCUGGGAAAAGAGUAAGCCCCAGGUGUCAGUACAGGCUGGGAACUGACUAGUUCAGCAGAAGCCUUGUCAAAAAAGACUUGGAAGUUAUGGUGGAUGCCCAGAAGAAUAAUGAGUGCUCUUGCUGCAAACAUGACAAAGUACUGGAUGAUGUUAAAAGCAUGUUCAGCUGAUUGUAGGAAACCAUUAACCCUCUUGCUUGGUACCGGUGGGUUGUCAUCUGAAAUGGCUUGUCCACUUCUGGGCUCUCCUGUUCAAAAAGGUUGUACACUAAUGGGAGAAGAUGCAGCAGAAGGCUACCAAGAUGAUCUAGAAAAUUAGUUCUGUGAGGAGAUUUUGAGGGUAUUUAAUCUGAGGAAAAAAGGUCUAAGUUUCAUGAGGGGAAGUUACAAGUACAAUGUUCCAAACUUUUCUCAUUAGUAGACAAUGUAACAAGGGAUGAUGAUCACAUAUAACAUCUGGAGAAGCUCCAGUAAGUCAUUAGGAAAUUUCUUCACUAUUAGGUAAUGCUGUAAUGGCACAGGCUACCCAAGAGAGGUGGCUGAGCCUCUGUCCCUGAGGCGUGGCUAAUCAAAGCCAUGACUAACCUGACUGAUAUCAGCAAGACAUCUUGAAUUGGGAGACUGAAUAAAAGCCCUCCAAAUGUCCCUUUACAACAGUAUUUCUGUGGCUCUAAUGUAGAGGUUCCAUCUCUUUAUCCAAGUGGACAGUAGCUCAAAGCUGGGCAGAUAUCUGCAGCUUCAUGUCUUGUCAUGAAGAUUUUCCCUGAGAAAAAAACCUCAGCUCUUUGUCAACAUCAGCUCUGCUCUUGGCUUGGACUGGCGCAUGCUUCGUUGGGUUAGAAACUGCCUGGAUAGCCGGGCCCAAAGAGUCGUGCUGACAAAGGAGCUGUGCCGGAGCAGGCCUUUCUGGGAUAAGAAUAGCAUCUGCCAUCUUAGGACACAGCACAGUUGUCCAGCUCCUACAUGGCAACGCAUUGCAGUGAGAUAUAGAAGGCAAGCUACCCGCUGAGGAAUGUCUUCAAGCGCUAUUAGUGGAAGCAUAUCAUCUACACAAGCAGGCAUGGCUUCACGCAGGAGUCUUGCAAGAGGCAGCUAUUUUUAGCUUUUGACACUGCCAAUGAAGGGAGACAAAUGGCAAAGUGAUCCUCCUGGCACAGGCAACCUCCAGAGCUCUCUGAGCAAGCCCCUUCUGGGAAUGACUCUUGUCAAGGCUGCAGGGCCUGAGGGUGCAGGAGAUGGGGAGUGCUGGUGCACUCCCAGGAGGGAGCUGUGAAUUUGCUGGGGACACAAGGCCUCGGUCCCACCAGCACUGCCCAGCUGCACUUACAGCAAGUUGUCCCUGAAGGCGUGCACCUGUCCCUGAGCUUAGGACAUUCCGCUGCCUGCUUUAUCUUCAGCCACAUCCCUGAGCGCUAGGGAGAGAACGGGGGGCAUGGAACUUUGUGAAGGACAUUGAGGUGCUGGAGCCUGUCCAGAGAAGGGCAAUGAAGCUGGUGAAGGGUCUACAGAGCAAGGUUUAUGAGGAGUGGCUGAGGGAACUGGGGUUGUUUAGGCUGGAAAAAAGAAGGCUCAGGGUGGGCCAUAUUGUAUUUUUUAUUUACCUUAAAGGAGAUUGUAGCGAGGUAAGGAUUGGGAUUUUCUCCCAAGCACCAAGUGAUAAGAUGAGAGGAAAUGGCCUUAAGUUGCACCAGGGGAGGUUUAGGUUGUAUAUUAGAAGAAAUUUAUUCACUGAAAGGGUUGUAUGGCAUUGGAACAGGCUGCCAU